rnacentral:rRNA from 1 species
AGACCCGAAACCCGGUGAUCUAGCCAUGGGCAGGUUGAAGGUUGGGUAACACUAACUGGAGGACCGAACCGACUAAUGUUGAAAAAUUAGCGGAUGACCUGUGGCUGGGGGUGAAAGGCCAAUCAAACCGGGAGAUAGCUGGUUCUCCCCGAAAGCUAUUUAGGUAGCGCCUCGUGAAUUCAUCUCCGGGGGUAGAGCACUGUUUCGGCUAGGGGGCCAUCCCGGCUUACCAACCCGAUGCAAACUGCGAAUACCGGAGAAUGUUAUCACGGGAGACACACGGCGGGUGCUAACGUCCGUCGUGAAGAGGGAAACAACCCAGACCGCCAGCUAAGGUCCCAAAGUCAUGGUUAAGUGGGAAACGAUGUGGGAAGGCCCAGACAGCCAGGAUGUUGGCUUAGAAGCAGCCAUCAUUUAAAGAAAGCGUAAUAGCUCACUGGUCGAGUCGGCCUGCGCGGAAGAUGUAACGGGGCUAAACCAUGCACCGAAGCUGCGGCAGCGACACUGUGUGUUGUUGGGUAGGGGAGCGUUCUGUAAGCCUGUGAAGGUGUGUCGUGAGGCAUGCUGGAGGUAUCAGAAGUGCGAAUGCUGACAUAAGUAACGAUAAAGCGGGUGAAAAGCCCGCUCGCCGGAAGACCAAGGGUUCCUGUCCAACGUUAAUCGGGGCAGGGUGAGUCGACCCCUAAGGCGAGGC